UGUGAUAACAUGCAGCUUGAACAAUUCAGUGCCUUUAAAAAAGGUUUAUCUUUUGCACAUGCUACCUAUUUCUUUGGGUCAGCUGGGGGCUUUGCUCAUUGUAGCUGCUUAAGAGCUCAGGCUGAUGGAGGCUCCACCUUGGCAUGUGCUUCCACAACCCAGUGUUGAGAGAAAGAAAUCAUGGUGAACUGUAAUAUGGCUCUUAAGGAUCUGCAUGGAAGUGAGAGGAGUUACUUCUCACCUUUAAUUGGCAAAGGAAAUCAUGUGGCCACACCUCAGUGCAGUGGGAUGAGAUGCAGAAACAGAUGCCCAGGAAGUUUAAGUAGUGUGGUCUUCUCAACAACUAAUGAAAAGCGAAUGAUAGAAAUGCAGCUCAUCAAGAAGACAGCUGCCACCUAAGGCUCUGCCGAAUUGAUUUCUGAACAUAACAGAGAUUCUUCGCUGCUUGAACAGGAGCAGCACGUGCCGAGAGCUGACCCCGACCAGAACCAGGCCUCAUCUCAACUGUGUGCUCACCAACUGACUUCACAUUUGGUUCACUAACUUCUUCUCCUUGUUGCAUCUUGUUUGUUGUGUGACUUCGUAUUCUGCUCUGCUUUGUGUGACAUGUAUGAAGCCAAGUGAACAUGUGGUAAAUGUCAUCAACUUUGGAAUUCUGGACCUGUUUGACAAUUAUGUUAACCU